UACAGAGGGGGCCAGCGUUAUUCGGAAUUAUUGGGCGUAAAGGGCGCGUAGGCGGCUUUGCGUGUCUUUCGUGAAAUCCCUCGGCUCAACUGAGGACGUGCGGAAGAAACUGCAGGGCUGGAGUCCGGGAGAGGAGGGUGGAAUUCCCAGUGUAGCGGUGAAAUGCGUAGAUAUUGGGAGGAACACCGGUGGCGAAGGCGGCCCUCUGGACCGGUACUGACGCUGAGGCACGAAGGCCAGGGGAGCAAACGGG
rnacentral:rRNA from 1 species